UUUCCGUAGGUGAACCUGCGGAAGGAUCAUUAAUAAUAAAGUGUUUUAUGGCACUUUUUAAAAAUCCAUAUCCACCUUGUGUGCAGUGUUACAUCUCGUCAAUCUUGGCGAGAUUUUUAUACAUCAACUCAUUCUUUAACUAAUUUGUCUGAAAAAUAUUAUGAAUACUUAAUUCAAAAUACAACUUUCAACAACGGAUCUCUUGGCUCUC
rnacentral:misc_RNA from 1 species